GGCUUAUGCAUGUGGAGGCAAAGCCGUUUCACCACCUGUUAACAUGUGUUAACCAGCCCAGGACCUGCUGUUUGGGCUACAGCCGCCUUCCUGUGCAUCUCAUGGUCCAACACACCCGAUUCGCUGCAGGGCCCACCCGGGAUGGAGGCAUGGCUUAACACAGGCUUUGA